AUACCGUAGAACAGUUUUCUUACAGUGGUCAGUGUUCGAGGUUAUAUAACUAAUCGGAAUUCUACUUCGGAAGAUAAUAGAAAUUUCAAACAGAAAGUUAUUUCAUGUGAAGUGUGUUAAUUAAGUGCACGUGUACGCCCACGUUCCAACAGUUUUUCAAGAAGAAGAGAAACGAUAAGGAAGAGUGCUACAUCGACUGGGAGAAUACUUACAGGUGUUCGUGUAAAAACGAUUCGUUUAAGAGAAAUCGAUUCAAAUACCUGAGUUAGUAAAAGAGAUGAGAAUAAGAGAUCCG